GUCAUCUCAUGAUGUUCAGGGUCUUGCUGCUCCUGUUUGCCGUGGCUGGUCUCCAUGCAAGACCACUGCACCGAUUCCCAAAUGGUAAAUUAAAACCAAUUGGGCCACAAAUGGUCCAAGAUGAACACAGGGAUAGCUCAGUUCUGAAGCACAUGAACACUGAUGUGAAACCCAAGAAGCAACUACCAGUUCCCGCUGAGUUCUGCAGACAGGGAACAGAACCUUCCAGACGCUUCCUGAUGGACCUGAACACUGGGAUGCUCAAGCGCGGAGUUGGCAAAGUGAACGGAAAAGUUUCAGGAUUGGAUGAGCUCAAACAAGGCACUGAGAACCAGCUGCACACCCUGCAAGAGCUCAGAAUGCGUCCCAUGAUGAGAUCGCAGUACAGCGCGCAGAGCGAAAAACACGAGCAGAGAGCGAUCCCUGCCGAGGUGUACAGAAAAGGCACUGAAACUUCCAGAAAUGUCCUGAUGGACCUGAACACCGGUCUGCUCAAAGAACACAUGAACAAGAUGGACAGGAGAGUAGUGGCAGCUAAAUGGGAAGUGGUUUCUGAGCAUGAGGAUAUAAGAAGCCAAGACUCUUCUGAACAUAAGGAGAACCACAAAGCAGUUCCUGUUGAGAUCCGCAGACAGGGAACAGAACCUUCCAGACGCAUCCUGAUUGACUUGAACACUGGGAUGCCCAAGGAGGAACUCAGCGAAAUGAACAGAAGAGUUUCUGGCUUCUACAAUCCAGCAGCUAUUGAGAAGAGGCAAGGAACAGAACCUUCCAGACGCUUCCUGAUGGACAUGGACACUGGGAUGCUCAAGCACGAAGUUAGCGAAAUGAACAGAAGAGUUUCCGGCUUCUACAAUCCUCCAACUUAUGAGAUGAGGAAGGGAACCCAGAAUUCUCGCGCCACUCUGGUGGAUCCCAGAACUGGACAACUGCUGGAAUCUCUAACAGAGCUAAAGAGGAGCGCAGCGCCAUUGGAUGAGUUCAGACAAGGCACUGAGUACCAGCCGUACAUCCUACAGAAGCUCAGACUGAACAAACAAGACACUGAACCUUCCAGAAACCUCCUGAUGGACCUGAACGCCGGUCUGCUCAAAGAACACAGGAAUGAGAUGGACAGGAGAGUAGGGGGCUCAGCUAAAUGGGAAGUGGUUUCUGAGCAUGAGGAUAUAAGAAGCCAAGACUCUUCUGAACAUAAGGAGAACCACAAAGCAGUUCCUGUUGAGAUCCGCAGACAGGGAACAGAACCUUCCAGACGCAUCCUGAUUGACUUGAACACUGGGAUGCCCAAGGAGGAACUCAGCGAAAUGAACAGAAGAGUUUCUGGCUUCUACAAUCCAGCAGCUAUUGAGAAGAGGCAAGGAACAGAACCUUCCAGACGCUUCCUGAUGGACAUGGACACUGGGAUGCUCAAGCACGAAGUUAGCGAAAUGAACAGAAGAGUUUCCGGCUUCUACAAUCCUCCAGCUUAUGAGAUGAGGAAGGGAACACAGAAUUCUCGCGCUACUCUGGUGGAUCCCAGAACUGGACAACUGCUGGAAUCUCUAACAGAGCUAAAGAGGAGCGCAGCGCCAUUGGAUGAGUUCAGACAAGGCACUGAGUACCAGCCGUACAUCCUACAGAAGCUCAGACUGAACAAACAAGACACUGAACCUUCCAGAAACCUCCUGAUGGACCUGAACGCCGGCCUACUCGAACACCAAAAUAAGAUGGACUCUUCUGAACAUAAGGAGAACCACAAAGCAGUUCCUGUUGAGAUCCGUAGGCAAGGAACAGAACCUUCCAGACGCAUCCUGAUUGACACAAACACUGGUAUGCCCAAGGAGGAACUCAGCGAAAUGAACAGAAGAGUUUCCGGCUUCUACAAUCCUCCAGCUUAUGAGAUGAGGAAGGGAACCCAGAAUUCUCGCGCCACUCUGGUGGAUCCCAGAACUGGACAACGGCUGGAAUCUCUAACAGAGCUCCAGAGGAACGCAGUGCCAUUGGAUGAGUUCAGACAAGGCACUGAGUACAAGCUGUACACCCUGCAGGAGCUCAGGAUGCAUGACAUUGUUAGACCAAAGUAAAGCGCUUAAAACGUGUACGAAAGUCACCGUGUUUAGAAUUGAUGAGGCCUGGUGGACAACGUUUGGCUGUGUUCGUACCCUAUGACUGCAUGAAGACCAUCUCAGAACAUCUAGUUGACUGUACUGUUGUAUUCAGAGGUUUCAUGCAAUAAAAGUGUCAUGCGAUAUUUGGAAUGACCGCA
ensembl:lncRNA